rnacentral:rRNA from 1 species
AUUGAACGCUGGCGGCAUGCCUUACACAUGCAAGUCGAACGGCAGCGGGCCUUCGGGUGCCGGCGAGUGGCGAACGGGUGAGUAAUGCAUCGGAACGUGCCAUUGAGUGGGGGAUAACGUAGCGAAAGUUACGCUAAUACCGCAUAUUCUGUGAGCAGGAAAGCAGGGGACCGCAAGGCCUUGCGCUCUUUGAGCGGCCGAUGUCAGAUUAGCUAGUUGGUGAGGUAAAGGCUUACCAAGGCGACGAUCUGUAGCGGGUCUGAGAGGAUGAUCCGCCACACUGGAACUGAGACACGGUCCAGACUCCUACGGGAGGCAGCAGUGGGGAAUUUUGGACAAUGGGCGCAAGCCUGAUCCAGCCAUGCCGCUGGAGUGAAGAAGGCC